AGGAGCCGUAUGCGGGAAUUCCGCACGUACGGAUCUGCGCGGGGGGCAGAGGGUAACCUUUGUUCCUACCGCAAC
rfam:Burkholderiales bacterium RIFCSPLOWO2_12_FTLL_61_40 rifcsplowo2_12_scaffold_4805, whole genome shotgun sequence.